rnacentral:rRNA from 1 species
GAUGAACGCUGGCGGCGUGCCUAAUACAUGCAAGUCGAGCGAACGGACGAGAAACUUGCUUCUCUGAUGUUAGCGGCGGACGGGUGAGUAACACGUGGAUAACCUACCUAUAAGACUGGGAUAACUUCGGGAAACCGGAGCUAAUACCGGAUAAUAUUUUGAACCGCAUGGUUCAAAAGUGAAAGUCGGUCUUGCUGUCACUUAUAGAUGGAACCGCGCUGCAUUAGCUAGUUGGUAAGGUAACGGCUUACCAAGGCAACGAUGCAUAGCCGACCUGAGAGGGUGGUCCGCCACACUGGAACUGAGGCACGGUCCGCACUCCUACGGGAGGCCGCAGGAGGCAGUCUUCCGCAAUGCGCGAAGGCAUGACGGAGCACUGCCGAGUGAAUGAUGACGGUCUUCCGGUCGUGAAGCGCGGUGUGUAGGGAAGAACAUAUGUGUAAGGAUCUGUGCACAUCUUGACGGUACCUAAACAGAAAGCCCCGGCUAACUACGUG